CUGAAAAAAAAAUUUCAGGUUUGUGCCAAAGAACCCUAAUUCUCUCCUUCAUACUCUUUUUUUCCUUAAAAAAAAUUCAAAUUCGCUGCGCCCACUCAUACUCUCGCUAAAGAAAUCUGAAACUAAAUAAUUUCUUUGAGAUCAAUCUGGACAUUCACCACAUUGAAGGUAAACUAGUUCUCCAAAUUUAGGUUCUCAUUUGAAACAUAUAUUGUUAUUCACCAACAGAUCAAUCUUUUUUGCAAUCUCUCUCUAUGAAUAGAGUUCUAAUUUUGGUUUUCAAAAGUUCUUUGCUAGGGUUUUGCUUAAUUGAGCGACUCUUCAAUGAUUCAAUUCUAAUUGGGUAAGGUAAUUUGUUUUUUCCUUUUAUGAUUUGGGAGCAUUUACUUAUUCUUUGUAAUUAUGUUAAAAAAAAAAAGGUAUAAUCUUUGUUAAAUUGGAUUCUCUGUGAUUCCUUGAAGGUUGAACACUAAUAACAAUUCAUUAAUAAACCAAACAGGAUGCCAGAUUAGAUAAGUGUUCAGGUUUAAUUGUAUAUAUUGAACCAUUCAUCUCUGGCUUUGUGAAGUAUGCCUUAAAUAAAUAUAUUUGGCUUUCAGCAUUUUAGCUUAGUAAGUGAAAAAUGCAGAAAUGCAAACUAGUUAGUGAACAAGCUAAUGUAAAAUUCUUUAUGUGGUCAUAUUAUUGGGAUGGUCUCCUAACCGUGGACAAGCUCCAACGAAGGGGAAUGGUGUUGUCUAAUAGAGUAAUAGGUGUUUGUCUUUGUAAGGAGGCAGAAGAGAGUAGUGAACAUCUCUUCAUGACCUGCAGGUUCACUAGGCAAAUUUGGGAGGAGUUGUUAGUGGUUAAGAGGGAAACACAGCACACACUGGACAGCUGGACUGCAUCCUCUGAACUGCUCACAAACUGGCGGGAAUUCAACAGUACAAAGAUUGCUCAGUUCCUAUGUGGAGUCUUGCCCGAUGGAGUGAUGUGGUUCAUCUGGAAAACAAGGAAUGGCGUGAUUUUUAGGGAAGGUGAAACAACAGUGGACAAAACAGUGCAGGCCGUCAAGGCGACAAUAUGGAGUUGGAUGAAUAUAAGUCCUAAAGUAAUGGAGAUGAGACAGAACAAGAGGUACACAGAUUUACUAUUUGGAUGAUAUGCCAGCCUUGUUUUCUUCCAUUGUUUCGCAUUUAUAACUCAUAAGUUGUAGUCAUAGAUAUGAUAAUACUUAUAAAAAAUUCUGGCGGUAAUCAGAUAUAUAUGCUGGUUGGUUAGUUUAGAAAAGCAUGGUCCCAGAGUUUUAUUCUAGUUUCGUACUCUUUUCUAAGCAAUUGUCUAACAAUAUACAAAUGUAAGCUGUUGCUUACCAGUUAACUCCUUAUGUAAUUUUUUUUAUGUAAUUUGUUAAUUAUAUCACCAAAAAAAUUAUAACUUUUUCUUUGUGAGGUAAAUUACACUUUUCAUUUGGCAUGGAAUCACUGUAAUAAUUUAGGUGGUUUUUAAUAGUGCUAUAAUUAGAUGAAUAUUUGUGUCCUCAUUUUUUGUGCUCAUUGCUAAGUUCUUAUUGCAGCUGGAAGCUAUCCAAUUCAUCACAUCCCACAAGUCCAUCGUAGCCGCAGCUAAGAUUUCUGAUCUUAUGGAUAUUGUCAUUAAAAGCGUAUCGGGUCUUGCAGUAUUAUCUCAGGUCCGUUUUUACUAACCUAGGUAGUUUGCUUGAAUUGAAGGAGUCUGUCAAUGAACAUGCACACAUGGUUAUAUAGUCCUUCAUAGUUUCUCACAAGCUUACUUCUUUCAUCAUGAUGCUUGCAUUCACCUGCUCUGUUCCAUUUUUUUUUUCUUUUGUCUAAUAUAUGUGUUUCAUUGCUCAGGAAUUACCUGUAUAAUGAAAAGCAUGCAACCUACACUAGAAUUGGUUGUGAGUACAACGUCUGAGGGAUCAACUGGCCCUGUGGGUGGCACUUCUAAAAAGUGAAAAUCACUUGCAGCAUACAAAAUUUUCUAAGGUUGUCCAUUGAGUUACAAUAUUAGAUGUAAUAGUGUUUUUUAAGCUGAAAAAUACUUAUUUGGUUAUUGGAUCUAAUUGUUAUCUCACCUUAUAUAAUAAGAAUUAUGAUUAUUUGUGUACUGUAGGUUUACUGCAUCAGCGUCUGUCUGUAGAAUGGCUGAGGCAGCACUUGCACAAGUCCUUGGACAGUAAUUACAUGCAUUGGGUUCAUAUCUGAAACAUUAUCUUGAUGCAGCAGAUGUUGUCAUCAAUAAAAUAUUUGAGCUUUUGACAUUGCUUCCAAUCACUCGUAAG
rnacentral:lncRNA from 1 species